UACGGAGGGUGCAAGCGUUAUCCGGAUUCACUGGGUUUAAAGGGCGCGUAGGCGGCUCUGUUGGUCGUGGGUGAAAUCCCCCAGCUUAACUGGGGAACUGCCUACGAUACCGCGGAGCUCGAGGGAGGAAGGGGCGGCCGGAACUGUCGGUGGAGCGGUGAAAUGCGUUGAUAUCGACAGGAACGCCGGUGGCGAAAGCGGGCCGCUGGCCCUCUUCUGACGCUGAGGCGCGAAAGCCAGGGGAGCGAACGGG
rnacentral:rRNA from 1 species